AAAACACGGUGGCCUGUCAGCUGCCAAUUGUGUUGAAGAGACAUGGCGUCGAGAGAGCAGGACUGGCUUUUGCUGACCGUCCCCUGCGGAAGUGCUGAGCUGCAGGCCAGGAACCAGGCACACCCACAGCGUGUGUAGAGCUGCUACACUGCAGAGCCACUAGUUGGUAAAGAGGGACACAUGCACGCACACUGAACAUGACAGUAGUAGUCCUGUUGGGUCUGUGGACCUGUCCGGCUGUGGACUCCAUCCUGCUUCCCUCCAGCAGACCUCGGGCCUGGGGAAGACGGCUCUGACUCACAUUUUCAGUUUUAAUAAAUUUAAUGUUUUGAAA